UACAGGUCCUCUGAUCUCCCUUAAUAAAUUCAGAAUAUUUUAUCAGUAGCAAUAGUUAGGAAUUUGAGUUCGACCAACUCAUUCUAUAUUCUCUCCUGAGCAUCACUUCUUCGCUGUUGUCGUUUUUUUUUUUUUUUUUACUUAAUGUCUCUAAUUGUAGAUGUGAGAGAUCUUUGUUUCUCAAAAGGAGAAAAGAUGGGCAAAAGCUAAACUUAACUUGAAGGCUAUCCAGGAGUCACAUGCUAUAAUCCACAGUGUGAAUGUUGGAGUUGAAGAGUUCAUCGCAGGGCCUUGAGCAAUGAAUCAUUCGUAGGUUGGAGAAAAUAAUCCAUACAUUUUGCACAUUAAGGAGUUAACUUAAAAUUUGAUGGCCAAUUCACGAAGCUGCAGGAAGAUAACAGGCUUCUGGAUAAUAGCCAGAUUACUUUCCCCAAAGAAAGCCCUUAAGUCUUGGAUAUGUUGUCAGGCCUGGGUCUCACAGGCAACUGGAGAUCUUUUCAGAUGGCUCCAUUGUUGAGGUUACCAUUUUCUUAAUCCCUAUCUUUUGGGUUGUAAUUUUGCUUUUAUGAUAUUUAUUAAUAAAAUAUUGUAUACUU